AACAUUUCUAGCUUGCUAGAAGAUGACGAGUGGCGGACGGGUGAGUAAUGCUUGGGAACUUGCCUUUGCGAGGGGGAUAACAGUUGGAAACGACUGCUAAUACCGCAUAAUGUCUUCGGACCAAACGGGGCUUCGGCUCCGGCGCAAAGAGAGGCCCAAGUGAGAUUAGCUAGUUGGUAAGGUAACGGCUUACCAAGGCGACGAUCUCUAGCUGUUCUGAGAGGAAGAUCAGCCACACUGGGACUGAGACACGGCCCAGACUCCUACGGGAGGCAGCAGUGGGGAAUAUUGCACAAUGGGGGAAACCCUGAUGCAGCCAUGCCGCGUGUGUGAAGAAGGCCUUCGGGUUGUAAAGCACUUUCAGUUGUGAGGAAAAGUUAGUAGUUAAUACCUGCUAGCCGUGACGUUAACAACAGAAGAAGCACCGGCUAACUCCGUGCCAGCAGCCGCGGUAAUACGGAGGGUGCGAGCGUUAAUCGGAAUUACUGGGCGUAAAGCGCACGCAGGCGGUUUGUUAAGCUAGAUGUGAAAGCCCCGGGCUCAACCUGGGAUGGUCAUUUAGAACUGGCAGACUAGAGUCUUGGAGAGGGGAGUGGAAUUCCAGGUGUAGCGGUGAAAUGCGUAGAUAUCUGGAGGAACAUCAGUGGCGAAAGCGACUCCCUGGCCCAAAGACUGACGCUCAUGUGCGAAAGUGUGGGUAGCGAACAGGAUUAGAUACCCUGGGUAGUCC
rnacentral:rRNA from 1 species